rnacentral:tRNA from 1 species
GUGAGUGUAGCCUAGCGGCAAGGCGUCAGGUUGUGGUCCUGAAGAUCGGGGGUUCGAAUCCCCUCACUCACCCCA